UGAUUUCACUAUGAGCUGACACAACACAGG
rnacentral:piRNA from 1 species